GCCGGGCGUGGCGGUGCACGCCUGUAAUCCCAGCUACUCGGGAGGCUGAGGCAGGAGAAUCACUUGAACCCGGGAGGCAGAGGCUACAGUGAGCCAAGGUCAUACCACUGUACUCCAGCCUGGGCAACAAAAUGAGACUCUGUCUCAA
ensembl:misc_RNA Metazoa_SRP Metazoan signal recognition particle RNA